rnacentral:rRNA from 1 species
GAUGAACGCUGGCGGCGUGCUUAACACAUGCAAGUCGAACGGAAAGGCCACAGCUUGCUGUGGUACUCGAGUGGCGAACGGGUGAGUAACACGUGGGUGAUCUGCCCUGUACUUCGGGAUAGGCUUGGGAAACUGGGUCUAAUACCGGAUAGGAAUCACAUGUGGGUGUGUGGUUGGAAAGCUUUUGCGGUAUGGGAUGAGCUCGCGGCCUAUCAGCUUGUUGGUGGGGUAAUGGCCUACCAAGGCGUCGACGGGUAGCCGGCCUGAGAGGGUGUACGGCCACAUUGGGACUGAGAUACGGCCCAGACUCCUACGGGAGGCAGCAGUGGGGAAUAUUGCACAAUGGGCGCAAGCCUGAUGCAGCGACGCCGCGUGGGGGAUGACGGCCUUCGGGUUGUAAACUCCUUUCGUCAGGGACGAAGCGAAAGUGACGGUACCUGGAUAAGAAGCACCGGCUAACUACGUG